UUAAAUUGAAGAGUUUGAUCAUGGCUCAGAUUGAACGCUGGCGGCAGGCCUAACACAUGCAAGUCGAACGGUAACAGGAAGCAGCUUGCUGCUUCGCUGACGAGUGGCGGACGGGUGAGUAAUGUCUGGGAAACUGCCUGAUGGAGGGGGAUAACUACUGGAAACGGUAGCUAAUACCGCAUAACGUCGCAAGACCAAAGAGGGGGACCUUCGGGCCUCUUGCCAUCGGAUGUGCCCAGAUGGGAUUAGCUUGUUGGUGGGGUAACGGCUCACCAAGGCGACGAUCCCUAGCUGGUCUGAGAGGAUGACCAGCCACACUGGAACUGAGACACGGUCCAGACUCCUACGGGAGGCAGCAGUGGGGAAUAUUGCACAAUGGGCGCAAGCCUGAUGCAGCCAUGCCGCGUGUAUGAAGAAGGCCUUCGGGUUGUAAAGUACUUUCAGCGGGGAGGAAGGGAGUGAAGUUAAUACCUUUGCUCAUUGACGUUACCCGCAGAAGAAGCACCGGCUAACUCCGUGCCAGCAGCCGCGGUAAUACGGAGGGUGCAAGCGUUAAUCGGAAUUACUGGGCGUAAAGCGCACGCAGGCGGUUUGUUAAGUCAGAUGUGAAAUCCCCGGGCUCAACCUGGGAACUGCAUCUGAUACUGGCAAGCUUGAGUCUCGUAGAGGGGGGUAGAAUUCCAGGUGUAGCGGUGAAAUGCGUAGAGAUCUGGAGGAAUACCGGUGGCGAAGGCGGCCCCCUGGACGAAGACUGACGCUCAGGUGCGAAAGCGUGGGGAGCAAACAGGAUUAGAUACCCUGGUAGUCCACGCCGUAAACGAUGUCGACUUGGAGGUUGUGCCCUUGAGGCGUGGCUUCCGGAGCUAACGCGUUAAGUCGACCGCCUGGGGAGUACGGCCGCAAGGUUAAAACUCAAAUGAAUUGACGGGGGCCCGCACAAGCGGUGGAGCAUGUGGUUUAAUUCGAUGCAACGCGAAGAACCUUACCUGGUCUUGACAUCCACGGAAGUUUUCAGAGAUGAGAAUGUGCCUUCGGGAACCGUGAGACAGGUGCUGCAUGGCUGUCGUCAGCUCGUGUUGUGAAAUGUUGGGUUAAGUCCCGCAACGAGCGCAACCCUUAUCCUUUGUUGCCAGCGGUCCGGCCGGGAACUCAAAGGAGACUGCCAGUGAUAAACUGGAGGAAGGUGGGGAUGACGUCAAGUCAUCAUGGCCCUUACGACCAGGGCUACACACGUGCUACAAUGGCGCAUACAAAGAGAAGCGACCUCGCGAGAGCAAGCGGACCUCAUAAAGUGCGUCGUAGUCCGGAUUGGAGUCUGCAACUCGACUCCAUGAAGUCGGAAUCGCUAGUAAUCGUGGAUCAGAAUGCCACGGUGAAUACGUUCCCGGGCCUUGUACACACCGCCCGUCACACCAUGGGAGUGGGUUGCAAAAGAAGUAGGUAGCUUAACCUUCGGGAGGGCGCUUACCACUUUGUGAUUCAUGACUGGGGUGAAGUCGUAACAAGGUAACCGUAGGGGAACCUGCGGUUGGAUCACCUCCUUACCUUAAAGAAGC
rnacentral:rRNA from 1 species